GAUGAACGCUGGCGGCGUGCUUAACACAUGCAAGUCGAACGAAGAGCUUUGUUUGUUUUCCUUCGGACCUGAUUAGUUUGUGAGUGAGUGGCGGACGGAUGAGUAACGCGUGGGUAACCUACCUUGUCGAGAGGGCUGACAGUAUGAAACGUCUGCUAAUACCGCAUAAGGGCACAGCAUCACAUGAUGCAGUGUGAAAACCUCCGGUGGGAUACGAUGGACCCUCGUUGGUUUAUCUAGUUGGGGAGGUAACGGCCCACCAAGGCGACGAUCCAUAGCCGAGCAGAGAGGGGGCCCCGCGACAUCGGGACUGAGACACAGCCCACAAUCCUACGCGAGGGAGGAGUGGGUAAUAUAGCACAAUGGGGGAAAGCAUGAUGGAGCGACGCUCGGUGAGCGAAGAUGUAAGGCGGUAAGAAAAGUUCAAGCAGCAGGGAAGAUAAUGACGGUACCUGACUAAGAAGCACCGGCUAACUACGUG
rnacentral:rRNA from 1 species